UACGAAGGGGGCUAGCGUUGUUCGGAAUUACUGGGCUGUAAAGCGUGCGCAGACGGUCAUGUAAGUCGGGUGUGAAAGCCCCGGGCUCAACCUGGGAAUUGCAUUCGAGACUGUGUGGCUAGGGUGCGGAAGAGGGAAGCGGAAUUUCCGGUGUAGCGGUGAAAUGCGCAGAUAUCAGGAGGAACACCGAUGGCGAAGGCAGG
rnacentral:rRNA from 1 species